GGAGAGAUGGCUCAGCAGUUAAAAGCACUGACUGCUCUUCCAGAGGUCCUGAGUUCAAUUCCCAGCAACUCCG
rnacentral:tRNA from 1 species